GGUGGUGCAUGGCUGUCGUCAGCUCGUGCCGUAAGGUGUUGGGUUAAGUCUCGCAACGAGCGCAACCCUCGUGUUUAGUUGCCACUAUGAGUUUGGAACCCUGAACAGACCGCCGGUGUUAAGCCGGAGGAAGGAGAGGAUGAGGCCAAGUCAUCAUGCCCC
rnacentral:rRNA from 3 species